rfam:Schistosoma rodhaini strain Burundi genome assembly, scaffold: SROB_scaffold0000006
AUCCGACUGAUGAGUCCCAAAUGGGACGAAACACGUGCCCUGAAU